rnacentral:rRNA from 1 species
UACAGAGGUCUCAAGCGUUGUUCGGAUUCAUUGGGCGUAAAGGGUGCGUAGGCGGCGCGGUAAGUCGGGGUGUGAAAAUCUCGGAGCUUAACUCCGAAAACUGCAUUCGAUACUGCCGUGCUUGAGGACUGGAGAGGAGACUGGAAUUUACGGUGUAGCGGUGAAAAUGCGUAGAUAUCGGGAGGAACACCAGUGGCGAAGGCGGCUUCUUGGCCUGUUCUUGACGCUG